rnacentral:rRNA from 1 species
CAGUAGCCGCGGUAAUACGUAGGGUGCGAGCGUUAAUCGGAAUUACUGGGCGUAAAGCGUGCGCAGGCGGUUCGUUAAGACAGAUGUGAAAUCCCCGGGCUUAACCUGGGAACUGCAUUUGUGACUGGCGAGCUAGAGUAUGGCAGAGGGGGGUAGAAUUCCACGUGUAGCAGUGAAAUGCGUAGAGAUGUGGAGGAAUACCGAUGGCGAAGGCAGCCCCCUGGGCUAAUACUGACGCUCAUGCACGAAAGCGUGGGGAGCAAACAGGAUUAGAUACCCCUGUAGUCCCUGUCUCUUAUAC